rnacentral:rRNA from 1 species
CCUACGGGAGGCAGCAGUGGGGAAUAUUGGACAAUGGGGGGAACCCUGAUCCAGCCAUGCCGCGUGUGUGAAGAAGGCCCUCGGGUUGUAAAGCACUUUCAGUGAGGAAGAACGCCUGGUGGUUAAUACCCAUCAGGAAAGACAUCACUCACAGAAGAAGCACCGGCUAACUCCGUGCCAGCAGCCGCGGUAAUACGGAGGGUGCGAGCGUUAAUCGGAAUUACUGGGCGUAAAGCGCGCGUAGGUGGCUUGAUAAGCCGGUUGUGAAAGCCCCGGGCUCAACCUGGGAACGGCAUCCGGAACUGUCAAGCUAGAGUGCAGGAGAGGAAGGUAGAAUUCCCGGUGUAGCGGUGAAAUGCGUAGAGAUCGGGAGGAAUAUCAGUGGCGAAGGCGGCCUUCUGGACUGACACUGACACUGAGGUGCGAAAGCGUGGGUAGCAAACAGGAUUAGAUACCCGUGUAGUC